UUGAGUUUGUUGAAUUUUAUUUGACAAAGUAUUCUCCUCCUGUUGUUGUUUUUUUUCUUCUCACUCACUCUUUUUUUGUUUCAGUAUUGUCAUAUUUACAGUAAUAAAAAAUAAAUCAUUUUUAGGAAGGAUUACAUUCCACACUUACAUUGCAACGUGUAGCAUGUUCCUUUCAUAAAGUGCAUCGUACUUGUCAGAUUUCAGUUCACAAUACAAAGAGAAACAAACAAAGCAAGAAAAUGAUCAACAACAAUUACAUCACAGUAUCAGAGCACCCAUCCACAUCUCUGACCGCUUGCUAAUAAGGGCCACGUAAUUGUGCUGACAGUUUACCUACACAAAAACAUUCCUUUAGCUCUAUAGAUGAUUGCAAAAGUGAUUGUAGAUCAUAGUGAGAAUUCAUCAGUAACGCACAGAGAUUUGGAUUUCGGAGAAUGGGCUACAUUUGGGUGCAGUGGUUACAUAACCCCAGAGGCUCUUCUAAAGGCUUGUCUCUCUCUCCUCCCUUAUUUUAGGAAGGCGCCUUCUCGCUCUAAUGUAGCUGUUGAUGGGAAACACAGAGCUCUGCUUAAUGGCCCAGAAAACGGAUUUCAAGUACCCUAGAUAAAUGUAACAUUUCAUGCUCUUCAAGGUUAUUUUUAGCAGGGCCAGAUUUAGUGGUAAUAGAGCUUCCAUGUGGUUAGGUGCCGUCAUUCAGACGACCUCUCUCCAUUUACUACGUACACCAGCGCUGACGUCACGACAGAAGACUAAGGUACGCUGGUCUCACGCUAGAUUUUUCUUCUUUGUAACUCUCAAAAAGAAGCCUCCGUCGCCUGCACUGUAGCUCCAGAGGAAUGCAGUCAUCUUAUAUUUUGUCCACUACUGACAAUUCUAGAUGGCUGGCUGCUUGGCGUACUUCAAUUCUGUGAUGAUAUCUGUGGUGUUAGUAAUUAGAUAGGUCACUUUUGAGCAUGAGGCUGGGGGUGGACCAUCUGUCUGUAGUCUGGCACACAAAAGGGCUGUCCCAGUCCAACAGAACGCUAAAGAGAGGACUGCAUUGCUCUGCCUGUAGCCGUAGUGGGCUCCAGUGUCCAAGAGAGAGGGUGGAAUCCAGCCGUUCCCUUGGCAUAGAACGUGCGCUCCGCCUGGUUCUCUGGGUCUAUUUUUGAGCUUUAACUUUUAGACCCAACUGUUCAAACUAGCCGCUACUAAACAAAUUAUAUCCUAUCUGUGUUCAGUAGUCAAGCUGCCUAGAUGUCGACUAUCUGGACACCAAGCUGUGCUUCAACCGCUACAAAUUUGAAGGUGAACGGUACUGUCGACUCAAUCAGGAAACCAUCAAUAAGAAUACAGGUUGACCUCUUGGAUCACAACACCUACUGCGCAACCAGCAACGUUUGACUGGGAUCCCACCAAGGGAGGACAUCAUAUCAUUAACACAGACACAGUACAAACUAAUUAUGUGAGUCCGAC